rnacentral:rRNA from 1 species
UACGUAGGGGGCUAGCGUUGUCCGGAUUUAUUGGGCGUAAAGAGCGUGUAGGCGGCCAGAUAGGUCUGCUGUGAAAACUCGAGGCUCAACCUCGAGAUGUCGGCGGAAACCAUUUGGCUAGAGUCCGGAAGAGGAAAGUGGAAUUCCAGGUGUAGCGGUGAAAUGCGUAGAUAUCUGGAGGAACACCGGUGGCGAAGGCGGCAUCCUGGACCGGCAUUGACGCUGAGUGAGCGAAAGCCAGGGGAGCAAACGGG